rnacentral:misc_RNA from 1 species
AAGUCGUAACAAGGUUUCCGUAGGUGAACCUGCGGAAGGAUCAUUAUUGAAUGAACAUGGAGUUGGUUGUUGCUGGCCCCUUUAUUGGGGCAUGUGCACACCUCCUCUAUUCAUCCACACACACCUGUGAACUUGUGAGACGGAUAGUAGCCCUCUCGGGGGCGAGGUCCGUCUGCUAUACAUAAACUCCAGUAUAUAAAUUUGAAUGUCAUUUGAUGUAACACAUCUAAAAACUAAGUUUCAACAACGGAUCUCUUGGCUCUC